UCCUUUCACCCCUUUUGUUUAUUAGUAUUUUGAUCAAAAGUUGGGCUGUAGCAAUGUUGGAAACGUUUUGAUUGUUGUGAUUUGAGGUGGUGAUCUUGGAUAUAUACUUUAGUUUACUGGAAAGAGAUUGAUCUUGAAAAGGUUACAGUUUGCUACUGAAAAUUAGCAUGAGGGCAGCCUAUUGUGCUCUUGUUCCAUUUAUGAGUUAAAGUUCUUCAAAGGCUACUACUGCUAUGAGAUUUCUCUAGCAAAUUCUACAUCCUUGAGCUAGCAUGAUGUUCUAAACAAGGGCAGAGAGUGUGCUUGUGUUACUUUGAUUGUGCUUCCUAAGUUGUGGUGCCUCUAUAUGAUGAUAUGUAAAGCUAUUGGGGAAGGAAGAUGGAGGUGUAUUACCUCUGGAAAAAUCGAAGGAAUGGCUGUCUUUGCUGCCGUUCACCUUGUUCCACCCUCUACUCUCGGUUUGUGCUGAAAUUUUGAAGUGUGUGUGAAAGGGAGUUGAAUGUGGUGUGGAGGGAAAUUUAUAGGCAGAUUGGUGUACUUGUGAGCCUUAAAUGAGGCUGCUGAAACUCUUGUUUCUAUCCAGCAGCAUAUCUCUCUUUUCUUGAUCCUUUGCAGCAACUUUACUUGACACAUUUUGGUGCUACUUGGAGUACUAGAGUUUGACUAAUUAAUUUAACUUGUUCUCACAUGCUCUCAUAGUACUUUGGUUCAUAACUUUAUUUGUUUGCAAGCUGCAGGAAAUCUCUCACUUCCUUGAUCUCCACUACUCUUGUUUGAAGGAACUUGGUGUUUUGCUAAGGACAGAGGACCUCUCAUUUACUCACUUUGGUGGUUUGUGACUAAGAUAUAAAGGCAGAUUUGGCUUUCCUCAUUUGGAUAGGUCCUUAGUCCUCUAUCACUAAGGUGGGUCACCUUGGCUACCUUGAUGUUCUCGGACUCGGCCCGCCGUUCGGCCGAUGGGUUGCUCGAACGGGCCACGAUUUGGGCCUGAGGGGGAAGGCCCGAAAAGCAUCUAAAUUUUAUUUUCUUUGUUUUCUUUCUUUGAAGCCUCGAUCCACAUAUUGUAGUAUUUUUGACAUUAAUUGUUCGUUUAUUGUAUUAGAAAUGUUAUUCGAAAAUUCAUGAUAUUCUACAAUGUAAAUUUCCAAUUCUUAGUUCAA